UCUAAAGUUUUCCCAUAAAGUGUAUUUGAUGGCUUUGAUUUUUUUGUAUUUUAUUUUCCUUUCAGUGGCACAUCAUGGAUUAACGGGAUCGUUAAGGAUCGAACGUUUGCUGAUUGGGCACCAGCAGUGCACAAUUUUACGGCUUCGUGUGCGUGGCCACUUAUGUCUUUGAUGUCUGCGAUCUAAAUAACGGCAAUAUUACGGUAAAAUCCGGUAAAAUCCUCUAGUCAUCUUUUUCCAUAUGGAUUCUUUGAUAAUGCGCAGAUGUUCCGGAUUUUCAAACGGGACCGUACACCAUUCGACUUGCAGCAAGGCUUACACCAUCAACGGCGGGGACAAACCAUAGGAAAUUCCAACACUUUUUCGAUCCAUGUUGCCAAGGAUUAAACUGAAAUAUUAUCUAAAUCUGAAUCUAGUUCAUAGCUAGCAGCAAUAACGUUUUGCCGGCUUUCAGUAUUGUCCGACAGCGCAGCAAUUCUCUGCUUCAUUUGCUGGCGUUAAUGGCCACUUGGAAUACUCCCGGCGUCAAUGCCGAUGCCAUUAGUCACGUUUGGAAGCUUUGCUCGGAUUGCUCCCUGAAAAACCAAAGGCGGAAGUAAUGGCUUUUUACGCGCGCAUGAGUGAGGAUUCACUUUGCUCUUGGUUCGCUCAAUUCAGUCUCUUCAUACACAAUUUGGCUCAGCUGCAUUUCCAUGGAGACCAUAUCAGCAUCGACUAGCUAUAUAGUUUGUUCCGAAAACCUACGCUCUCGCUACCGACGGCCGAAUAAUCGAGCGAGUUUCUACGAAAAAAUUACCAGGAUCGAAUAGAGGUAUAGUUCAGAAACUUUAUGGUCCCUAAAGUACAUCUACAUCGUGGGCCUUCAGCGUGUCGAACAGAUGUGAAGAAACUGAACUUCCGUAGUCACCGGGAGUUUUCGGAGUUUCAUCAAAAGUGCUGCCUCCGCUUUUAAAUUCGUUUGCAAUAGAUCUCCACUUUUUUUUCCCCCGUCUUCGAUCAAUAUGAAGAGACCAAUGCUUAUGUCAUCAGCUAGUGGCGCAACAAGUCUUCGUCCAGUCAUACGGAAUGUCGCCAAUUCCAAUGGUCACGUUCAAGGCGAGUUGAAGAUAUCGAUCCAAUAUACUCGGAGCGAGUUGCAUGUCAGGAUCCAACAUGGUUGCGAUUUGAUUGCCGUGGGAGGCUCGGCAACUUUUGUCAACAAGCGACCGAGUUGCCGUCACCUUACGU